rnacentral:rRNA from 1 species
UACGAAGGGGGCUAGCGUUGUUCGGAAUCACUGGGCGUAAAGCGCACGUAGGCGGAUCUUUAAGUCAGGGGUGAAAUCCCGAGGCUCAACCUCGGAACUGCCUUUGAUACUGGGGAUCUCGAGUCCGGGAGAGGUGAGUGGAACUGCGAGUGUAGAGGUGAAAUUCGUAGAUAUUCGCAAGAACACCAGUGGCGAAGGCGGCUCACUGGCCCGGAACUGACGCUGAGGAGCGAAAGCGUGGGGAGCGAACAGG